CCAACGGCCCUCUUUAGGGCCACAUUCGAUGCUGUUGAAAUGCGU
rfam:Angiostrongylus cantonensis strain Taiwan genome assembly, scaffold: ACAC_scaffold0000186